rnacentral:misc_RNA from 1 species
AACCAUAGAAACCUGCGGAGUACCUGCGGAGGGAUCAUCAUUGAAUCUAAUAUAAUUUCAAGCUUUGAGGGGGAGAGAAGGAAGGAAGGAAAGGGGGAUUUCUCUUUCUUGCUUCUCUUUUUCUUUUGGCUUGCAAACAACUUUUGAUACCCAAACAGAAUUUCGCCUCUCUCUGUCUUUUGAGCUCUCCAGUUCAUUUUUAUUUGGGCUGGUUGGUCGCUGGGAAGAGAAAAGUGAAAA